ensembl:lncRNA MIAT myocardial infarction associated transcript
AGCGCCGCGGGUGGGGAUGCGGGAGGCUGAGCGCACCGGCCAGCUAGCCCCUUUGUGCGGCGGGGGCUGCGGAGUGCUCCCUCCAAGACCGGUUGCACCCCGCUUUCCUGGCCAGGACUCUGGGCGCGGUUGGAGGCAUCUGUCCACCCAUGUGGUUCCAGACACGUUCAUGUGGCCACCAUGACCCCGUCGGCAUCACAGGGGUAACCAAGGUCCACAGAACGAGGGGAAAGGGUCACUGUGGAUCAAGCCAGGCUCCUCUGAGCAGUCCAGGGUCUAUUUACAGAGAGCAGCAAGUUCCUGGGACAGAGGAGACAGAAGGGAAUUUCCAGGUUCUUCAGGACGUUCACAACCACACUGAGAAGCAUCUUUGCAGAUAAGUAUUUAAACUUACCAGCCCAUAGCCUACCAGCCUGCCCUCUUCUGGUCUGUGCAGGAAAGUGUAGUAUCCUAGAAUGCCAAAGUGGGAGGGGAAAUGGGUGAUGUAGCUCAUUCUCUUUUCUACCUCUAUGGAAGAAAGAAAGAGCCUGUCCCCAUUUUGUGGGGUCCCAGAAAGGGUGAUUUUCACACUUCACAUUUGGCGUUAGGGCUAGUAUUUCACAAACAUUACCGUCUGGAACUUUUGAAG